rnacentral:rRNA from 1 species
GAUGAACGCUGGCGGCGUGCCUAAUACAUGCAAGUCGAGCGAACGGACGAGAAGCUUGCUUCUCUGAUGUUAGCGGCGGACGGGUGAGUAACACGUGGAUAACCUACCUAUAAGACUGGGAUAACUUCGGGAAACCGGAGCUAAUACCGGAUAAUAUUUUGAACCGCAUGGUUCAAAAGUGAAAGACGGUCUUGCUGUCACUUAUAGAUGGAUCCGCGCUGCAUUAGCUAGUUGGUAAGGUAACGGCUUACCAAGGCAACGAUGCAUAGCCGACCUGAGAGGGUAUCGGCCACACUGGAACUGAGACACGGUCCAGACUCCUACGGGAGGCAGCAGUAGGGAAUCUUCCGCAAUGGGCGAAAGCCUGACGGAGCAACGCCGCGUGAGUGAUGAAGGUCUUCGGAUCGUAAAACUCUGUUAUUAGGGAAGAACAUAUGUGUAAGUAACUGUGCACAUCUUGACGGUACCUAAUCAGAAAGCCACGGCUAACUACGUG